GCCCCCAUAGCUCAGGCGGAUAGAGCGCCGGAUUCCUAAUCCGGGUGCAGAGGUUCGAGUCCUCUUGGGGGCA
rnacentral:tRNA from 1 species